rnacentral:rRNA from 1 species
GUCUACGGCCAUGCCACCCUGAUCUCGGAAGCUAAGCAGGGUCGGGCCUGGUUAGCACUUGGAUGGGAGACCACCUAGGAAGACCAGGUGCUGUAGACA